rnacentral:rRNA from 1 species
GAUCCUGGCUCAGAUUGAACGCUGGCGGCGUGCUUUACACAUGCAAGUCGAGCGGCAGCACGGACUUCGGUCUGGUGGCGAGCGGCGAACGGGUGAGUAAUACAUCGGAACGUACCGUUUUAGUUGGGGAUAACGCAUCGAAAGAUGUGCUAAUACCGAAUAAUCUCUGAGGAGGAAAGGCGGGGGAUCGCAAGACCUGUCGCUGAAAGAGCGGCCGAUGGCCGAUUAGCUAGUUGGCGGGGUAAAAGCCCACCAAGGCGAUGAUCGGUAGCUGUUCUGAGAGGAAGAUCAGCCACACUGGGACUGAGACACGGCCCAGACUCCUACGGGAGGCAGCAGUGGGGAAUUUUGGACAAUGGGGGCAACCCUGAUCCAGCAACGCCGCGUGAAUGAAGAAGGCCUUAGGGUUGUAAAGUUCUUUUGUCAGGGAAGAAAAGGCUUGUGCUAAUAUCGCAAGCUGCUGACGGUACCUGAAGAAUAAGCACCGGCUAACUACGUG